rnacentral:misc_RNA from 1 species
CAAGAAGUUGCAAAGAGCUCCCUAAAACCAUUGUGAACCCUUCUACCAAGUUGCUUCGGCGGGCGCGGCUCCCUCACGGGGACCGCAGCCCCCCGGCCUCUCACGCGGCAAGGGCAGCCCGCCGGGAGGAUACCGAAACUCUUGAUCAUUAGUGGCUCUCUCUGAGUAUUCUUAAACUGAAAUAAGUUAA